rnacentral:ncRNA from 1 species
CAAAACGGUUAUAGACAAGGGGAAUAUGACUGUUUAAUUAAAACAAAGCAUUGUGAUGGUCCCUAUGGAUGCUAGCGCAAUUUGAUUUAUGGCCAGUGCUCUACAUGUCAAAGUGAAUAAAUUCAACCAAGCAUGGGUAAACGACGGGAGUAACUUGAGUCCUCAUUCUAAAUUGGUGACUUGAGUCCUCGUAGACUUAGAGAGUGGGUGGCUUAUGAUGCCAAAUUCUUUGGCCCUUAAUGGCAUUUCAUUAUCCAUUAUGUGAGAUGUGGCGUGCAUCCUCAAGUUAGAGACACACUGGAGCCAUGGGUUCCCAAUG